CCAGAACUUAUCAUGAUUUUAGACUAGUUGCCAUGGAUAAGAUACAAAAUGAGGAUCAUGUUUACUCCAUAGAACAGUCAGUGUUCCAAGCCUGAGUUCUCAGAGCAAGAAGUGAAUCUCAUUUCAAGGAUGUGGUCUUUGAUUGCUGGGAGAAUCCCAGGAAGAACAGCUGAGGAGAUUGAGAAGUAUUGGAAGUCGAAAAAUUAAAGUAGCAG